rnacentral:tRNA from 1 species
GCUCGCGUAGUUCAGUGGCAGAAUACAAAUCUCGUAAAUUUGGGACAUGCGUUCGAUUCGCAUCGUGAGCU